CGCCUCGGACCCCCGAAACCUCAGGGGCGGCCCUAAUGAAUUUUUGUAAUACAAGCAGGUGGAAUGAAAUAAUAAGAAACAGAGCUGUCGAAGUCUCGAGAAGGAGUUUCAAACAUACCCUAUUUUGAUUGACUUUCUGUGGCGAAAAGACACCGGUGCGCGCCGGUUGUUUCACUUCCUGCACUGUGUCACCAAGGACUUCCUCUUGCAGAGCCUUGUAUGCCUCGCUCUUACUCGGGUCGUACUUCAUCGGUUUCUUCGGGCUGUAUCAUUGUAUCGCAUGUGUACACAGGGGCUAUUUUUAAUCGAUAUUUGCUUCGCAAUUUUUGUCAGAUCGGUUAGCAGCAGCCAGUGUUAUAUCGCCAAUAGUUUGUUCGAGAGCGACUUUCGGACCGCUUCCAUGCCCUUUUUCAUUAACCGUAUCGCUAGUGUACGUUCUAACCAGAUUAUCGAUGCUUUUUCUCGAAAAUUACGUGUCCGUAUUUAGUUUAUACAGUAAUGCUUUAUAAAUAUUUUUAACUAUAUAAUAUCUAUAGUAUCUCUGAAGUUUCAACCACGGUCUGUAAUUCUCGAGAAUCGAUCUUAUUAAACGAGCAUCAAAAAUUAGUAAAACUACUUGUUUUCACGCACGAUUACUACCGUUAAUUAUUGAUUACUCUCUACUCUACAGCAUGCAAAAGCAUAUUAUUGUUAUUUUACAAACUUUCUAUGCAGUGAGCAUUGUUUCCUAACUGUCCCGCCGACUGUAUUCUUUUUUUAUCAAUUUUAACUGAAGAAUCUACUACAACAAACUAUGAUUAUGAAUUGGUAAAUAGUUUAUCGCGCGCUUGUCGAGAGCUUAAUCGCGUUUCGAUGGUCACGUCCUUUUGUUUAAUGGAGAUAAAAAAAAAAAUUCGUUACAGAGGGUGUUCCAUUUAAAAAAUUUGAAAAAUGUUUUUGCGUAAAUUGAAGUGUUAUUCUUUAAUUAAGAAAGAUAAAAUGUUUCAGGUAUCGUUUGGAAGGCUGAAAAAAUAUUUACAGAAUAUGUAUAAUGGAGAAUGAAGUUUCAUUUGACAAAAGAAUAUUCUGUACACAACUGAAAUAGUUUCGAGGACAAGGAACGUGACCAGAUAUAAUUAACACGUAAGAAUCGCAAGAAUUUGGAAAUCACAAUUAAACGCGAGAAGCAUCGAAAAACGUCUCGAACUGAUUUAUCAUUAAUUUGGCUUAUUGAAUUGCGGCCACACGUUCUUCGAGGAGGCGGCUUUCGCCUGCUCCUUCAACAUUCUCGCUUGCUCCUCGAUUUCCUGUUUCUGUUUCACGAAGGAAAAGUCUAUGAAAAUGCUGGAAAACAACAAACAAACUACACGUGAGUGUCAUCUCAAUCGCAGUUCAAUGGAAGAAAGUAGGUAACUGUGUAAAUGCCUGAGUCGCAAUGUUCUCUUUUACGUCCGACAUCCCAUACUCCGAUCGACAGCUCUUCGAUACACGAAUUCCGGAUUGUAACAAGCCUUUAUCGAAAUUUUAUAAUGAUGUGAUAAAAAUGUUAAUCGUCUCAACGAUGCAUUAUCGCGUUAUUUGAGUUAUGAUUUAGAAAUAAUCCGUUAGUGAAUGGCGUCAAUAUUACUGCUUAGAGUUAAUUGUUUGAUAAGUAGCAGCAUUCAGCAAAAGUUCAACCGCAUUAACCCCUUUAUUGCUAACCACUGUAUCGUAUAAUGUAACAUCAAAUUAAGUUUCAUAUUAUCGUUGAUAGUGUAAUUCAUCAGGAGAGCUUAUAGAUUGGUAGAAGUAAAAGGGUUAAUGAUACUAGUAUCAACCAAUUCGUUACUCUAUUAUAAGCUGUACGGCAUAUUAGUUGUUUUUCUUUUUUGUUAAACUUAUCAUUAUUAAGUACUUACGGUAUGGCGGAUGCCUGGCACUUAAUAGUAUCGGCUAUAUUUUGUUCGGAGUAGAGACCAAUCGGCGAGUUGAAUUGUUUGUGCACCACCUAACAAUCAAAUGAAAUAAGUUAAUUUCACCGCUAUUAAAAAUGUAAUUGUAGCAUCGGUAAUGAUAUUUUUAUGCGAUGAAAUUCAGUUUGCGUAGAAAUCCUCGAAUCGAACGAGUCCAAAGCGUUCCUUUCUCAAGGCAGAUGUCUCUUUAGAGUGUCUAUCUGGUGUCUGAAAUUGGUGUUUGAUUUCUCAAAUGAUUUUUAGCUGGUUAAUCGGUAAAGCGGAAAUGUUUCACGGUUAGAACGAUAAUUAUAUCGCUGUUACAGCGAAAAUGCGUGGAUUCGUUUUGUCGUUGAAAGCGAAAAGCAUCGAUUCGUGGAAGCGAAAGCGAUCUGAGAAAUAAGUUGGUCCAAACCUUUGGAACUUCGUUCGGUCCCAAGACGCGUUGAAGUACCGAUUCCGCCACCUAGUCAGACACCGAAUCUUUAAUCGCUUAUACCAAGUCGCAAAUUCCAAAAAUGCCAAAGGAUCUUUUUAUCGUUUAUCAUUUUUCAUUUUUCAUUUUCGUAAAAUUCAUGCGUUAAAUUUUCGAAAAAUUGUUAAGUAUUUACCUUUUGUUUCAUAGCAACCUCAGGAUGAGCCGGUUCGUAAUGAUGCGGUGCCGCCCUGAUCAUCGGAUUCGGAUGAUGGCGAAGGUAGCACUCACCGAGUGGAGCAUCCUUUUUGAUCUUUGCACCUGGCAAGACCAGAGGAGUUGUGCGUUCAUCGAAAGAGAGAAGAAUUUCAUCUAUGAAGACUCUUGAAAACGAAUAGUACGCAACAGGCGUGACAAGUUCUAUCAUCAGCUGGAAUUAUAUUAAUGAACGAACUGCGUGCGAUCGAAAAGUUCUUAAUAAGACAAGCAGGCGUGGAAUGUUCUGCCAGAACGGUGUCAAUUACCGGCUAACGAAAUCUAAAAUAAACCUUAAUAGAGGCCGUGGUGAUCGAUGAUACCUCAUUAAUUUUCGACACCGUUGCGAUAAUAGAGUACGAAUUGCAUCUAUGAACUGGGCUAAAAAUAAAUCGGCGAUCGUUUCGGUAAUAUAUCGACACAUUACUUUUCGUUACCUAUUAAUUAAUUCAAAUUCAUUUAUCAAAAAUUCCAACACAUUUUGAUCAAUUCGACGACUGAUAAAGUUUCAAUCUUCCACGAAUAGAAAGACUGUACGUACAAGUUCUAUUUGCGUGCCAUUGUUUUCAACGAUUCUUCCGUCGAGGAUACUACGUUGAUGGUAUUUUUGGCAAAACUAUUACGACCGGAAGCAAGCUCGUGGCAUAAAAUAUAUCUUCAAUGUCUCCGAGUCACCGAUGAAAGCUGUUAAACGGCUAAAAUUUCAGAUCCUUGGCUCGUAUGUCCGCACAAUGAGAAAAUUGCAUAAAACGCGAUAGCGUUUUGAAUAAAAUGCUUGCCAAAUGUUUCGCGACGAUUCGUUAUGUCACGUAUCGUUUGUUUUGCAUGACGUUACGAAAUUAUUACAUGUACACGUAU